rnacentral:rRNA from 1 species
AUUGAACGCUGGCGGCAGGCCUAACACAUGCAAGUCGAGCGGGGUUUUCGGACCUAGCGGCGGACGGGUGAGUAAUGCGUAGGAAGCUACCCGAUAGAGGGGGAUACCAGUUGGAAACGACUGUUAAUACCGCAUAAUGUCUACGGACCAAAGUGUGGGACCUUCGGGCCACAUGCUAUCGGAUGCGCCUACGCGGGAUUAGCUAGUUGGUGAGGUAAUGGCUCACCAAGGCGACGAUCCCUAGCUGGUUUGAGAGGAUGAUCAGCCACACUGGAACUGAGACACGGUCAAGACUCCUAGGGGAGGCAGCAGUGGGGAAUAUUGGAUAAUGGGGGCAAGCCUGAUCAAGCCAUGCCGCGGGUGUGAAGAAGGCCUUCGAGUUGUAAAGCACUUUCAGGAGGGAGGAAGGGUGUUGUGUUAAUAGCACAGCACUUUGACGUUACCUACAGAAGAAGCACCGGCUAACUCUGUGCCAGCCGCCGCCGUAACAC